ensembl:lncRNA
GUGCGAGGCACGUGGCGGUCUUGAGAAUUCCAUUACUACAAGGGGACGGUUAACCUGCAGUUGGGCAGAACCAUCUACAGAAGCAACCAGCCUUGUGUCCAGCCCAGAACCUCUGACCAUGAGCGAAUCGGUCAGAAUACGUCACCUUGGGAGGAGCCACAACCUUUUUUUUCAGGUCUCAGACAUUUCUGUAGGCCCCUAGAAAGCUCACAGACCCUGAGCACAUGCCCCAAGUGCCUGACAGAGUCCCACAAGAAUUCCGUGACUAAAGGCCUCGCGGUUCCAACCUAUACCAUUCCCGGGAGCUUCAGAGUGCGAGCAGAAGCAGCCUUUAGAUCUGGACAUGAGACCCCCGACCCCUUCCCUGCCCGAGGACAGCAGACUCAGCCAUCCUCCAAGCAGCACAUAAACCACACAUCAGUCACCCAGUGAUACAAAGAGGUGGCCCAUCGUGUCUGAAGCAGUCAUUUGUAAAUCACAACCCAGGCAGUGUUGCUUUUCUGCAAACAGAAGGAAAGUCGGCUCCAUGGUUCUUGAAGAUUUGUCCAAGCUUUCCACUGGGUGUCAAGAUUUCUGUCCCAACCUCUUAGUCACCAUUUACAGCAAGAAAAGCCAGCGAGUGAAAAACUGUUAAUUUAUUGAUUCAAUGAGAGUUUUCUCUUUUUAAACAAUCCCCAAUACAUGCAGUUCAGGAUUAACCAUCACAUUUGUAGCACAUUGUUGAGACUCUACACAAAGGUAUGCAUCACCUGUAUAUCCCAUCACAUCGUUUUCCCCAGCCUCUAUACCACCUUGUUCGGGUCGUUUUCAUUAACACAUCCAUAUAGCUCAAAAAACGUACGUUCUUACCAGUCUUCUUAGCCAGCUGUUUCCCCGCCACCUCCCCUCCCUCCUGUUCCCACCCUGGGGUUAGUUUUUAAAGGCAGGACAUUACUGUCUUAGAUUUGUUAAGCUCACUGACAAACUUUGGCUUCUUGUGUGCUCACGUGGACCUUGCUUUUGCUUUUGAAAGGGGUUAUAUUUCAAUGACCUUGACUCUGAUCAGUUAUUAUCCACUCCUAUUUAUUUGCAGGAGGGAAGUGUGCUUUUUCCCGUGGGUGCUCAUGCAGAAACAAGGGUUACUAAAUGAAUCAUUUAACCUGAACUGGCAUUAAAGGAAACUGUUAACUGGGCUCUCUCAGCUCCGUUUCAAUAUAAAAAUUUUUCCAACUGUCGCUUGCAUCCCAAAAUAAUUCUGCUUCCAUCCUCAUCGACGCAGCACCUGGGAGAACCUAAGUCAUUUCCCUGAGUAGGUGCAGCCUGAGACCCACAGCCGUCCCGUCAGCUCUCUCUGGGCCUCAGCAUCUGCCUUGAGAGCACCACCUUUCGGUCCCACUGGAACCAAUCCAGGGGCAGCGCCCAUCUCAGGGCACAUUCCAAGUUUUCAUGUCCCCUAGUUUUCUCCCCUCAAGAGGUCAUGGUCCCUCCUCAAGAUCUACCUUUUGCCUGUUUUUCUUAUUGGUUCCCUUUCUCCCUUUAAUAGCCCCUCUCCCAGCUCCCAAGGAUUACAAGCUCUUCUAUCUCCUCUAAUCAGUCUGAGAGCACUUCCUUCUCUGCAAAGAAAUACAUUUGCUUUGAGC